UACGAAGGGUGCAAGCGUUAAUCGGAAUUACUGGGCGUAAAGGGUGCGUAGGCGGUUCGUUAAGUCUGUCGUGAAAUCCCCGGGCUCAACCUGGGAAUGGCAAUGGAUACUGGCUGGCUAGAGUGUGUCAGAGGAUGGUGGAAUUCCCGGUGUAGCGGUGAAAUGCGUAGAGAUCGGGAGGAACAUCAGUGGCGAAGGCGGCCAUCUGGGUCAAGACUGACGCUCAUGCACGAAAGCGUGGGGAGCAAACAGG
rnacentral:rRNA from 1 species